rnacentral:rRNA from 1 species
GAUGAACGCUGGCGGCGUGCUUAACACAUGCAAGUCGAGCGAAAGGACGAGAAGUUUGCUUCUUUGAUGUUAGCGGCGGACGGGUGUGUCACAUGUGUAUCACCUCCCUAUAUGUCUGGGAUCACCUCGGGAAUCCGGAGCUUAUCCCGGAUGAUCUUCUGAACCGCAUUGUUCAAUAGAGAAAUACGGUCUUGCUGUCACUUAUAGAUGCAUCUGGGCUUCAUUGGCUGGUUGUUAAGGUAACGGCUUACCAAGGCAACUAUGCAUAGCCGACCUGCGGGGGGGAUCGGCCACACUGGAACGGAGACACGGACCAGACGCCUACGGGAGGCAGCAGUAGGGAAUCGUCCGCAGAAGGCGAAAACCUUGCGGAGCAACGCCGCGUGAGUGAUGAAGGUCUUCGGAGCGUAAAACUCUGUUAUGAGGGAAGAACAUAUGUGUAAGUAACUGUACACAUCUUGACGGUACCUAAUCAGAAAGCCACGGCUAACUACGUG